GGGCACGUGGCGGAAUUGGUAUACGCGCUGCGUUCAGGGCGCAGUUCCAGCAAUGGAUUGAGAGUUCAAAUCUCUCCGUGCCCA
rnacentral:tRNA from 1 species